UGGUGAGCCUUGGAACCCGGUCGCGGCACAGAUGCCUUCGGGAGCCAGAAGCAAAGAGGAAAAUGGACGUGGCUCAGAGAAGCAGGCUGACCCAGGAUUGAUUCAACAAUCUGCAUCACAGCUCCGCCAGUGAUGGAGUCCAGGGUUGGCACGGACUGGACUCUCCUGAGAGGUGGGUGUUGGAGAAUCAGUCAGCUGAUGGGCUCCAUGUCCCUUUGUAUCCAGGAAGAAUCAAAUUAUGAGUAAAAUGUCACCGUGAGGUGAGCGUGAUGACACCAGGGCUGGUGCAGCCUGCCCUGCCUUGUCCCUCAUCCCGGUGCAUCCCCUCGACACAAGCUUCCGCUGCUAUUCAGCUCCACUUUGUUCGCUGUCUUUAGUGUGACUCAGCCCAGGGCCUUUGGUGAAAGACCAUAAUGAUUGCUUCUAUUAAGAAGGCCUUACUUAAAGCAUGGUGAGGCUUGCCUGAAAUUUCAAAAGGAUCAUAAAAUCAAGGCCACCCUGAGCUAUGUAGCAAGACCUUCUUUUUAAACAAGAAAAAGGCAGCAAUCCAUAUUUUUUCCUAAGUAAGUAUUCUGGCAUUCAGACACUGAUCUGCUGAAGGAAUUGUCUCAUUUAAUGUCAUGUCAGAGACGACCCCAGUUAGAUUGGCCUGUGGUAUCUCAGGGAAUAGCAACCUCGGUUUCUAGAACCAGAGAAGCUGGCUAAGCUCACCUUGCCUGAUAGACAGAAGAUAAAUGACCCAGGGGGCUGAGUGGGACAGUGGCCACCCUGGGCAGCCAAGGCUGGGGAGAAGAAACCUGAUCUGAGCAGGACGUGCCUGACUGAUAUGAAUAGAUGGUGACAUGGUAGCCCCAGCACAUGGGGGCAGUGGCCACCUUAGCAAAGAGCUGGAGACACAGAGACGGUAGGUCCCCCCAACCUAGCCCUCAGCGGACAGCAGGCAAGUCCUGGGGAGGCCCAGACGGGGUGAGAGUUCUGCGGGGUCUCGACCACAGUCGCUCUAUGAAGUGAUGUGAUGUGGGUAGGAAUACGGUGUUCUCAGUUGGCGCGAUUCCCUGAACAAUCCUGACUUCAAGGGCUCAGAUGAGGCUCCGUCCGCUGAGUGCCUCUCUUGCAUGCAGAAGGCCAGGCGCUGGGACCCAGCACUGGAUGGACCAGAUGUGGGGACACCGGAAGUUCAAAGUCAUCCUCAACCACACAGGAGUUCAGGUCAGCCUGGGAUGCACGAGACCCUGUCUCGGAACAAAUAACACUUCUUUCAAGAAGAAGUCUUAAAAUUAGGGCUAUAAUGAUCCAAGGUGAGAACGAAGCUUUCUAAAGACUGUGACACUCGGUUACAGCCACUAGAAUGACAGAAGCCUUACAGCUUGGUGGCCCCAUGGAAGCACCUGUCCUCAGGCAUUCCGAGACAGACAGAAGGCAACAUUCACUCAGGGUAGGUGACCAAGAGUCUCACAGAGGCCUAUGCUGGUCAAACCAACAGCAAAACCAACAGCUUCUCCUUGCACAUCCAGCAUCAGCUCAGAGAGUCUGGCAACGCUAGUUCUGAGUGAUGUCCUUCGACUGUUUUGUUUAUUCUGUAGUGGUCCUUGGCCAACAGGGAUGUCCUGGCUAAAGAGCGUUUCCCAGAGUCACAUCCUACCUUUCUGAGGUGGCUGGAUCUUCCCUCUGGCAUGGGGAGCAAUUAUUGCAAAAAAAAAAAAAAAAA